GGGGGGGGGGGGGGGGGGGGUGGGGGGGGGCGGGGCGAGCGGGAGGGCCGGGCGGUGGGGGGGUGGUCGGGGGGCGAACGGGGGAGUAACACGUGAGUAGCCGGCGCUUGACGUUGGGAUAACUUCAGGAAACUGGUGCUAAUACCUGAUAGGAGCGCCUGGUGCAUGGUGGGGUUUGGAAAGUUUCGGCGUGUGGGGAUGGACUCGCGGCUUAUCAGCUUGUUGGUGGGGUAGUGGCUUACCAAGGCUUUGACGGGUAGCCGGCCUGAGAGGGUGACCGGCCACAUUGGGACUGAGAUACGGCCCAGACUCCUACGGGAGGCAGCAGUGGGGAAUAUUGCACAAUGGGCGGAAGCCUGAUGCAGCAACGCCGCGUGCGGGAUGACGGCCUUCGGGUUGUAAACCGCUUUCGCCUGUGACGAAGCGUGAGUGACGGUAAUGGGUAAAGAAGCACCGGCUAACUACGUG
rnacentral:rRNA from 1 species